CCAGAUUUACUUACGUGAGCAGGGACACGAUAAUGUAGUGAAUACUGGCGCCAAAACCUAUGGUGAUCGAACAAUCGUUGACGGCGGAGGAGGACGAGACGGGGAAGGUACGGAAGAAACAUAUGAGUAAUCGGAUUUGUGUAUUUAGGUGAAGCGGAUCAAGUUCCGACAAGGAACAUGAGCUUAUUUUGAAGAAUUUCAGGAAGCGAUGCUUAUUUCUCUGGCCUGCAAAGUGUUUCUCGGUAAUCUACCGUACAUAUCUAGAAGAAAAAUUUGGAGACAGUUGUUUACCUGCUGCCUGGCAAACCUGUUAUGAAUGAACAGCCCGCUAAACAGAUCAAAGCUGUCUUUUACAGUGCUCUCCUUCUGCAAGAACUGCGCGAAAUUGCCGAAUCCAAUUAUGCCAAUUUUCAAAGGUCUGGCUGAGGAAGAAGAACAAGUAGACAUGAUGAUGUUGAGCUUGAGCGUGG